GCAGAAGGCCCAGAACAGCCAGUAAAAUGGAACCUGGUCUUAGGAUGUAGGAAACCCCAAGACUCGCAGCAGCUCUGUCAGCAUCCCCGCGAUAUCGAGAGGCCCAAUUCUGUACAGACGAUCGCAGUUGCUAUGAAUUCCAGACUGCACCAGCCUUGUGAUGUCCAGAGUGCUGGACCAUAAUCCCAGAACUGGAAAGGCAGAGACAAGUUGAUUCCUGCAGUUCUCUGGCCUGAACUGGUUCAAUCUGAGAAAAUUAAGCUCGGGAACAAUUGAGAAGACAUUGCAUUAGCUUCUAAACUCUGGAACUACAGAUGUUGGAAUUACAGAUGUUGCUGCUGUUGCAUUUGGCUUUACAUGGGUUCUAGGAUUCACAUUCAGGCCCUUGUUCCUCAUCCACGGAGUCACCUUCAUAGCUCCCAUUAAGAGGAAGGGAGCCCUGGAGAAGAUAUUGGAGAGACUGGAAGAUGAACUGAAGGGUGCCAUGUGCUGGCCAUCCAAGUAACUUGACUUCCAGAUCCACCGGCACCCACUCCAUGAGAUCACUCUGUGAAGUUUCCCUGCACUACAAUUAAGGUUAGUGCCGCCCUCAACCUUGGCUGGAGAAACCCCUCUCUCUAGUUGCCCAGGGGUCAAUGAAGAGAUUUCUAACUUGCCAAAGAGCUGAGGAUGAGAACAGAGCUCAACUCUAAAUGGGACAGCUAUAUCUACUCUACCCGAAGCUCAGGGAACACUGUAAAGGUGUGGGGAAACAUAAGACCUGCAGGAUGGUGAGCAGUGCUCUCUGGACAUGGCUGACCAGUGCGUUCAGAACUCACUGUGGCUGAAGCUUCCAGCACGAGGUCUAAACAGGGCCAAGCCAACAAGAUUGGUCAUCAUUCCAGCAGGUCAUCUGAAUCAGGCUCAGUCAAUUAUGCCUAAUUAGAAGGAAGGGGAGAAAAAGAAAAAAGAGAAAGGUAUGAAGGUGGGAAAAGGAAAUGUUGGGGGAGAGUGGGAAGAGGGGGAGUUGACAGAGGGACAUUGAGCAUGGAUAUGAUCAAGAAACUGCCAAAGAAUAAAUAGAAGAUAUUUACAAAACAUUAAUAAUGCAGACUCUGUUCUA